rnacentral:lncRNA from 1 species
CUUCUCUAUCAUCCCAGCACCAUUUUUCUGUUUGCGCCACAUUUUCUUGGCUCAGACCUGCCCUGAACAUAUCUUCCUAUGAUUGUCACUAAAUAUAGCUCCUUUCCUUCCACCACUGGGACAGAUGCUGGCAAUUCUUAGCUCGUUCUAUGCGAGAGUCUGGAAUCUCUGCUGGACCCAACACAUGGUAUCAUUUGGCGAGCUAGUCAGGAGACAUCAGCAGCCAGAAGCAGCCCAGCCAGAAAGGAAGGUGAAAGUUGGGUUGUUCCCUUCCCACAACCUUACCAAGGAGUCUCAGUUGGAAUCCUGCUGCACAUACACAGCUGUCUUAGCAAGAAGUCUCAGAGCAUCAUUCGCUCUGCUCUCCCAGCCUGAUAAGGUGCACUCACAGAGGGAGUGAGAGUAUUCCAACAUCAGGUCUCAGUGAACUUUGGAGACAGAAUGAAUUUGCAAAAUCCAGCAGUAUUUCCUUCAUAUUGGUGAACCAGGUCUCUGCCUUCAGCCCAGGACUUUAGAGAGCCUCGAGUAUCAGAAACACAUAAAAAAAUACAUUUAUGAGGGAACAAAUGGCCCCUCUACCACUUGGGACCCAGCAGUCGGAGUUGGCAUUGUGUGAGCCCUAUACCACUCCAGGAAAAUGUUUUCUGGGCUGUGGGAAAACCUCUGCUUGCCCUAAAAUGCAAGGUUUCCAGGUCAGAGACAGAAGCUGUUGCAGAAUAAGGAGUUUAUUUUGCUAAUUGAAUACAAUUUGAUUAUAUUUUAAAACCUUUUGUUUAAAAUGUUAAAUUUGUGUGCGUAAUUGUGACUUAAAUUUUGAAAUUAAUUCAAAUUUAG